CCUACGGGUGGCAGCAGUGAGGAAUAUUGGUCAAUGGACGCGAGUCUGAACCAGCCAAGUAGCGUGAAGGAUGACUGCCCUACGGGUUGUAAACUUCUUUUAUAUGGGAAUAAAACAGGGCAUGCGUACCCUGUUGUAUGUAUAAUAUGAAUAAGGAGCGGCUAACUCCGUGCCAGCAGCCGCGGUAAUACGGAAGAUCCGAGCGUUAUCCGGAUUUAUUGGGUUUAAAGGGAGCGUAGGUGGAUUGUUAAGUCAGUUGUGAAAGUGUGCGGCUCAACCGUGAAAUUGCAGUUGAAACUGGCGGUCUUGAGUACAGUAGAGGUAGGCGGAAUUCGUGGUGUAGCGGUGAAAUGCUUAGAUAUCACGAAGAACUCCGAUUGCGAAGGCAGGUCACUGGACUGCAACUGACACUGAGGCUCGAAAGUGUGGGUAUCAAACAGGAUUAGAUACCCGUGUAGUC
rnacentral:rRNA from 1 species